CCGGCCCCCGGUGGGGCGGGGAGACGCGACCGAGCGACGCGGACGGACGCCGGAGAGCCAGCGCACCCAGGCACUGCGCACCCGCGCACCCGCCUACCCAAACCAGACCAUCACGGACCGCCGAGGGCCCGUCCCUCCGACCCCGAGAGAGGAGUGGAGGUGCUAAACGUGCGGCCAAACGGGCCACCUGGCCCGCCAUUGUCCCGGAGCCGGAGACGUAUCCAUGCCCACGGCCAGUCCGUCCGACAGGAGAGGGGGGGUCUGCCUCCGCACCACCUGCUGGUCCCACGAGCGGGCCGACACCCCCAGCCUACCGGUCCACGUGGGGAGGCACGACACCCACACCCUGCUCGACUCAGGGAGCGUGGUUACGCUGGUCCGACCCGACCUGGCGGACGGGGCCCCCGGGCGGAGGAUCGACGUUGGCUGUAUCCACGGAGUCCUACAGCACGAGGCAGAUCACAGUCCGGACCCCGAAGGGCACCUUCACGGUUCGGGCCGGGCUGGUCCCAAACCUCCCGAUGCCCCUCUUAAUCGGGCGGGACUGCCCGAUCUUCGCCCAACUGCUAGGGGCCGAGCUUCAGGCACCCCGGCGCCGACCCCCUCGGACCCGACCCCGCCGGCUGCGUAGCCGGCCCGCCUAUAUGGCCUCCCACCCGGCGCCUUCCCAGUCCGACUCGGACGAGUCCCCCGACAGGGCCCCGAGAGAGGCGGCACGACAUGCCCACGCCUCGUCCACAGUGUCCCUUCCCCCGGGGACCCCAGACACGAUGACUGCCUCCGAGCAGGCCCCUCCGCCAGACGAGGAGGAGUCUCCACCCCUCAUAGACUUCACCGACUACCCCCUGGCCGACGGGGGAGGACCCGACAAGGAAGGACAGUUCGCCACCGCCCAGCUGGAGGACGACGCCCUCCGCCACGCCUGGGGACACGUCCAGGUCCAUGAGGGCCUCUCGCAGGACUCGGAAGCAGCCGAAGACGCCGGGGAUCGAGACCCCACCCCCAGCAGCAGGACCAGACCCGGCGCGGUGUCCUUUUUCCCAGACCAGGAAGAACCUGAGUUGACUCCUUUGUUACCCUUUUUCUGGAUGAGUGGUUAUACGAAAUAAAAGACCGUUAACCCACA
ensembl:lncRNA